rnacentral:rRNA from 1 species
GACGAACGCUGGCGGCGUGCUUAACACAUGCGAGUCGAACGGAAAGGCCCUGCUUUUGUGGGGUGCUCGAGUGGCGAACGGGUGAGUAACACGUGAGUAACCUGCCCUUGACUUUGGGAUAACUUCAGGAAACUGGGGCUAAUACCGGAUAGGAGCUCCUGCUGCAUGGUGGGGGUUGGAAAGUUUCGGCGGUUGGGGAUGGACUCGCGGCUUAUCAGCGUGUUGGUGGGGUAGUGGCUUACCAAGGCUUUGACGGGUAGCCGGCCUGGGAGGGUGACCGGCCACAUUGGGACUGAGAUACGGCCCAGACUCCUACGGGAGGCAGCAGUGGGGAAUAUUGCACAAUGGGCGGAAGCCUGAUGCAGCAACGCCGCGUGCGGGAUGACGGCCUUCGGGUUGUAAACCGCUUUCGCCUGUGACGAAGCGUGAGUGACGGUAAUGGGUAAAGAAGCACCGGCUAACUACGUG